rnacentral:rRNA from 1 species
GGGGGACAACAUUCCGAAAGGAAUGCUAAUACCGCAUACGCCCUACGGGGGAAAGCAGGGGAUCUUCGGACCUUGCGCUAAUAGAUGAGCCUAAGUCAGAUUAGCUAGUUGGUGGGGUAAAGGCCUACCAAGGCGACGAUCUGUAGCGGGUCUGAGAGGAUGAUCCGCCACACUGGGACUGAGACACGGCCCAGACUCCUACGGGAGGCAGCAGUGGGGAAUAUUGGACAAUGGGCGCAAGCCUGAUCCAGCCAUGCCGCGUGUGUGAAGAAGGCCUUUUGGUUGUAAAGCACUUUAAGCGAGGAGGAGGCUACUUGGAUUAAUACUCUAGGAUAGUGGACGUUACUCGCAGAAUAAGCACCGGCUAACUCUGUGCCAGCAGCCGCGGUAAUACAGAGGGAGCGAGCGUUAAUCGGAUUUACUGGGCGUAAAGCGUGCGUAGGCGGCUUUUUAAGUCGGAUGUGAAAUCCCUGAGCUUAACUUAGGAAUUGCAUUCGAUACUGGGAAGCUAGAGUAUGGGAGAGGAUGGUAGAAUUCCAGGUGUAGCGGUGAAAUGCGUAGAGAUCUGGAGGAAUACCGAUGGCGAAGGCAGCCAUCUGGCCUAAUACUGACGCUGAGGUACGAAAGCAUGGGGAGCAACCAGGAUUAGAUACCCUGGUAGUCCAUGCCGUAAACGAUGUCUACUAGCCGUUGGGGCCUUUGAGGCUUUAGUGGCGCAGCUAACGCGAUAAGUAGACCGCC